rnacentral:rRNA from 1 species
GGGCCCGCACAAGCGGUGGAGUAUGUGGUUUAAUUCGAUGCAACGCGAAGAACCUUACCAGGGUUUGACAUCCUGCGAAUCUCUUGGAAACUUGAGAGUGCCUUCGGGAGCGCAGUGACAGGUGGUGCAUGGCUGUCGUCAGCUCGUGUCGUGAGAUGUUGGGUUAAGUCCCGCAACGAGCGCAACCCACGUCUUUAGUUGCCAGCAUUUAGUUGGGCACUCUAGAGAGACCGCCGGUGAUAAACCGGAGGAAGGUGUGGAUGACGUCAAGUCCUCAUGGCCCUUACGGGUUGGGCUACACACGUGCUACAAUGGUAGUGACAAUGGGUUAAUCCCAAAAAAUGCUAUCUC